AACGAACGCUGGCGGCAUGCCUAACACAUGCAAGUCGAACGAGACCUUCGGGUCUAGUGGCGCACGGGUGCGUAACGCGUGGGAACCUGCCCUUAGGUUCGGAAUAACUCCCCGAAAGGGGUGCUAAUACCGGAUAAUGUCUUCGGACCAAAGAUUUAUCGCCUUUGGAUGGGCCCGCGUUGGAUUAGCUAGUUGGUAGGGUAAAAGCCUACCAAGGCGACGAUCCAUAGCUGGUCUGAGAGGAUGAUCAGCCACACUGGGACUGAGACACGGCCCAGACUCCUACGGGAGGCAGCAGUGGGGAAUAUUGGACAGUGGGCGAAAGCCUGAUCCAGCAAUGCCGCGUGAGUGAUGAAGUCCUUAGGGUUGUAAAGCUCUUUUACCCGGGAUGAUAAUGACAGUACCGGGAGAAUAAGCUCCGGCUAACUCCGUG
rnacentral:rRNA from 1 species